AGCGGGGCGCCGCCAGAGGCCUGGCACCCAGACGCCGCCGCGCGGCGCAGAGCAGCGCCGCCCAACCUGCAGCGCGCCCCGCUGGGAGGGCCCCGGCCCCAGCGCCCUGCCGCGAAAAUAAAAGUCCAUCUUACAGACUUACUGGAGCUGAAAUCAUCAGGAAGAUCUCAUCCCAGAAUAUAAAGGCAGAACUUUUCUGGAGAUUCAGUGGUAGCUGAAGAGUACAUGACACAAGCUGGCAAGGUGGUACAGCAUAAGGUUGAAGUGGAAAGAGGCUGUCCAAAGCAAAAAACAGAAAGACAACCAGAUCUGUGAAACUAGGUGUCAGGAAACUGGGGAAGUGUGGAGGAAGACAUUUCUGAGGCUACAGUAUAAAGAACUGGAGCAGUAUUCCAAUACAGUUCACCACAUAACCCUGCCGACACUUACAUUACCAUGAUGAAGGAGGAAGUUAAGAGUCAGAAACAAGAGGCAGGAUGUCACGGAAGUUCUUCUGUCCAUGUGCUCAUCUUAUCCUUACUGUAAGAAAAGAAGUGAGGCAAAGAAGUGCUGUCAGCUGCUGGUAGUUUUGUCCCAGUCCUGCACUGCACCAUAUGAGUUAAUGAAAUGGCCCAGAGAACUACUGGAAAGAAAGUGACCUGUUAUCCUGU